rnacentral:rRNA from 1 species
AGGAAUAUUGGUCAAUGGACGAAAGUCUGAACCAGCCAAGUAGCGUGCAGGACGACGGCCCUCUGGGUUGUAAACUGCUUUUAGUUGGGAAUAAAAAGAGGGACGUGUCCCUUAUUGUAUGUACCAUCAGAAAAAGGACCGGCUAAUUCCGUGCCAGCAGCCGCGGUAAUACGGAAGGUCCAGGCGUUAUCCGGAUUUAUUGGGUUUAAAGGGAGCGCAGGCGGCGGCGUAAGUCAGUUGUGAAAUCGUGCGGCUUAACCGUGCAAUUGCAGUUGAUACUGCGUCGCUUGAGUGCACACAGGGAUGUUGGAAUUCAUGGUGUAGCGGUGAAAUGCUUAGAUAUCAUGAAGAACUCCGAUCGCGAAGGCAUAUGUCCGGAGUGCAACUGACGCUGAGGCUCGAAAGUGUGGGUAUCAAACAGGAUUAGAUACCCUGGUAGUCCACACAGUAAACGAUGAAUACUCGCGGUUGGUUCGUUAAAUCAGCCGCCAAG